GCCAAGGCAACCAGCUCUCGCGACACUUUCCUCAACUCCAGCGAGAACAGCCGAGAAGAGACUCUCGCAAGAAAGUAAAUGAGUCAGGCUGGAGACAGCUAAUAAGCCUCACUGUCAGGAGGUGAGCGAAGGCUCCCAGGCUGAAGAGGCUGGGAAACUGGAGCACCAGGGGGCUCAGGACUCAUUGGAGAUAAAGGUGACAGCACUUGAAGCUCACCAGGGGAUGGAGAUCGCACAGGCCCCAAAUCUGCUGCCCUGGAUGGAAGAGAUGACAGAACUUGAGGGCUGUGCUGCAUGACUGACAGCUAGAGAUACCUGCAGGAGAUGAGGGGAAAAGAAAUGCCCCCAGAAAAUUGAAGGUCAAGACUGCCAAUCAACAUACCACAGAGCAAUGACUGCUGUAAUUUGUGC